rnacentral:rRNA from 1 species
AUUGAACGCUGGCGGAAUGCUUUACACAUGCAAGUCGAACGGCAGCACGGGAGCUUGCUCCUGGUGGCGAGUGGCGAACGGGUGAGUAACAUAUCGGAACGUACCCAGUCGUGGGGGAUAACUAUCCGAAGGAUAGCUAAUACCGCAUACGUCCUGAGGGAGAAAGCGGGGGAUCGCAAGACCUCGCGCGAUUGGAGCGGCCGAUAUCGGAUUAGCUAGUUGGUGGGGUAAAGGCUCACCAAGGCGACGAUCCGUAGCGGGUCUGAGAGGACGACCCGCCACACUGGAACUGAGACACGGUCCAGACUCCUACGGGAGGCAGCAGUGGGGGAAUUUUGGACAAUGGGGGGCAACCCUGAUCCAGCCAUUCCGCGUGAGUGAAGAAGGCC